AGGGCACCACCAGGAGUGGAGCCUGCGGCUUAAUUUGACUCAACACGGGAAAACUCACCCGGCCCGGACACCGUAAGGAUUGGCAGAUUGAUAGCUUUUUCAUGAUUCGGUGGAUGGUGGUGCAUGGCCGUUCUUAGUUCGUGGAUCGAUUUGUCUGGUUUAUUCCGAUAACGAGCGAGACUCCAGCCUACUAACUAGUACGGGCAUUGCCUCUGUGCCCGGCACUUCUUAGAGGGAUUGGCUGCGUCUAGCGGCACGAAACGGAGCAAUAACAGGUCUGUGAUGCCCUUAGAUGUCCGGGGCUGCACGCGCGCUACACUGGCAAAAUCAGCGUGCUUGUCCUUCCCCGAAAGGGGUUGGUAAACCCGUGAAAAUUUGCCGUGAUUGGGAUCGGACAUUGCAAUUAUUGUCCGUGAACGAGGAAUUCCUUGUAGGGGCGAGUCAUCAACUCGCUCUGAAUACGUCCCUGCCCUUUGUACACACCGCCCGUCGCUGCCCGGGACUGAGCCAUUUCGAGAA
rnacentral:rRNA from 1 species